rnacentral:rRNA from 1 species
GGGUUGUGAGGUUAAGCGACUAAGCGUACACGGUGGAUGCCCUGGCAGUCAGAGGCGAUGAAGGGCGUGCUAAUCUGCGAUAAGCGCCGGUAAGGUGAUAUGAACCGUUAUAACCGGCGAUACCCGAAUGGGGAAACCCAGUGUGACUCGUCACACUAUCAUUAACUGAAUCCAUAGGUUAAUGAGGCGAACCGGGGGAACUGAAACAUCUAAGUACCCCGAGGAAAAGAAAUCAACCGAGAUUCCCCCAGUAGCGGCGAGCGAACGGGGAGGAGCCCAGAGCCUGAAUCAGCAUGUGUGUUAGUGGAAGCGUCUGGAAAGGCGCGCGAUACAGGGUGACAGCCCCGUACACAAAAGCGCAUGUGCUGUGAGCUCGAUGAGUAGGGCGGGACACGUGGUAUCCUGUCUGAAUAUGGGGGGACCAUCCUCCAAGGCUAAAUACUCCUGACUGACCGAUAGUGAACCAGUACCGUGAGGGAAAGGCGAAAAGAACCCCGGCGAGGGGAGUGAAAAAGAACCUGAAACCGUGUACGUACAAGCAGUGGGAGCACCCUUUGGGUGUGACUGCGUACCUUUUGUAUAAUGGGUCAGCGACUUAUAUUCUGUAGCAAGGUUAACCGAAUAGGGGA